AGCAGCAGCUACAUACAUACAUACAUACAUAUGUAUGUCGACGUUGCGACGCGUUGUUAUCGCAGUUAUAGUUCGCAGUUGAGUUGCGACGGCGACGCAGUUGUCUUCCCUUCCACAUUGCGAUUGGAUCGACUAGUGCCGGGCGGAGCGGGCGAAACGGGCGAAACGGUUCGGUUCGUUCGGUUCGUGCGAAGAGAAACGUAAAAAAGUUAUCAGAAAUCAAUGCGAUAAGCGGUUAAAGCGGGAACCGCCGCAGCAACAGCAACAGCAACAGCAACAACAGCAGCAACAACAGCAGCAGCAGUAGCAGCAGCAGUCGCUGAUAAACAACGGUCGAGGUGAGUUAAAGCUUUGAGUUCAACUCAACCGAGUUGAGUUGAGUUAUUCUUGGCACUGAGUUGAGUUUGAGUUGAGUUUGCUGAGGCGCCUGCGCCAGCUAACGGUGUGUUGAUGACGUCGCCGCUAAGCCAAGCUGGGCAGGCAAAAGCGCAAAGAGAACAAAUUGAGCGCAGCAACAACUACAACUACAAUGAAAACAACAGCUAAAGCCGCAGCCACAGAGCACCACACACAGUUACAGCUCCUGUUACAGCAGCACACAGCAGCAGCAGCAGCAGCGGCGGCUGACAAAAUAAACAACAAAACGAAACGUCUUACAGCGCCAGCAGCUCCCCAGCACCAGCGUCAGGCAGCGACAUCGACUGCGACAGCGACAGAGGCAGAGGCAGCGGCUUCAAAGCAUCCGCUCUGAAAAUCAGUGCAGGCAACCGCAGCGUCGUCCUAGGCCAUGUGCGGCUAACGUUGUUUUGUUGCCUUGGCUGCAGAAAAAGUUUAAAAACAAAAAUUCAGCACAAAUUCAAAAUCAAAAAAUUUCAAAUAUAUCCACAAUAAAAGCAUUUAAGCAAAUUCUGCUCAACGGACAGUUGUUGCUCUAGUUUUUUUUUUCAGUGUUUUGCAUAUAUUUGUUGUUUUUUUUUCUGUUAUUUUUUGUUGUUGUUUUAAUCGUGUGCGUGUGCAAGAAAGAAAGAAAUAGAAAACGCUGUUUUAAAUUACGAGCGGGCGAAAUUAUGAAAUGCUAAUAAAAUUCAAAUGCGAAAAGCUGCAAAAAAUAAUUAUUAACGUCUC